rnacentral:rRNA from 1 species
UGAAUACGAGACGCUAAGGCGUCGAAGUAGUGUAUGUCAUACUUCCAAGAAAAGCUUGCACUGUCAUAGAUAAAAAACGCCUGUACCAUAACCGACACAGGUGGGUAGGUAGAGUAUACUAAGGGGCGCGAGAUAACUCUCUCUAAGGAACUCGGCAAAAUAACUCCGUAACUUCGGGAGAAGGAGUGCCUUAUUCGUAAGGUUGCAAUAACAAGAUCCAAGCAACUGUUUAUCAAAAACACAGGUCUCCGCUAAGUCGUAAGACGAUGUAUGGGGGCUGACGCCUGCCCAGUGCCAGAAGGUUAAAGAAGUUGGUUAGCAAUUGCGAAGCUGAUAACUGAAGCCCUGGUGAACGGCGGCCGUAACAAUAACGGUCCUAAGGUAGCGAAAUUCCUUGUCGGGUAAGUUCCGACCCGCACGAAAGGCGUAAUGAUUUGGUUACUGUCUCGGAGAGGGGCUCGGUGAAAUAGACUUGUCUGUGAAGAUGCGGACUACCUGCACCAGGACAAAAGACCCUAUGAAGCUUUACUGUAACUUGAAAUUGAAAUUGGGCUUUAUUCGCGCAGUAUAGGUGGGAGGCGUUGAUUAUAAUCUUGUGGGAUUAUUGGAGCCAUCAGUGAGAUACCACUCUUGUAAUGUUAGAUUUCUAACUUUGAAUCAUUAUCUGGUCAAAGAACAGUUUCAGGCGGGCAGUUUGACUGGGGCGGUCGCCUCCUAAACGGUAACGGAGGCGUACAAAGGUUUCCUCUGAACGGUUAGAAAUCGUAUCUAGAGUGUAAAGGCAUAAGGAAGCUUGACUGUGAGACCUACAAGUCGAGCAGGGACGAAAGUCGGUCUUAGUGAUCUGACGGUACUGAGUGGAAAGGCCGUCACUCAACGGAUAAAAGUUACUCUAAGGAUAACAGGCUGAUCUCCCCCAAGAGUUCACAUCGACGGGGAGGUUUGGCACCUCGAUGUCGGCUCAUCGCGUCCUGGGGCGGUAGUACGUCCCAAGGGUUGGGCUGUUCGCCCAUGAAAGCGGUACGCGAGCUGGGUUCAGAACGUCGUGAGACAGUUCGGUCCAUAUCCGGUGUAGGCGUUAGAAUAUUGAGAGGAGCCUUCUUUAGUACGAGAGGACCGAGAAGGACAUACCUCUGGUGUACCAGUUAUCGUGCCAACGGUAAACGCUGGGUAGCUAUGUAUGGAGUGGAUAACCGCUGAAAGCAUCUAAGUGGGAAGCCCACCUCAAGAUAAGUAUUCUCAUCA